rnacentral:rRNA from 1 species
GACGAACGCUGGCGGCGUGCCUAAUACAUGCAAGUUGAACGCUAAAGCUUUAACUGGUGCUUGCACCGACUUAAGUUUUUAGAGUAGCGGACGGGUGAGUAACACGUGGGUAACCUGCCCAUCAGAGGGGGAUAACACUUGGAAACAGGUGCUAAUACCGUAUAACCAUGAUGACCGCAUGGUCAUGAUGUAAAAGGUGGUUUUGCUAUCGCUUUUGGAUGGACCCGCGGCGUAUUAACUAGUUGGUAAGGUAACGGCUUACCAAGGUGAUGAUACGUAGCCGAACUGAGAGGUUGAUCGGCCACAAUGGGACUGAGACACGGCCCAUACUCCUACGGGAGGCAGCAGUAGGGAAUCUUCCACAAUGGGCGCAAGCCUGAUGGAGCAACGCCGCGUGAAUGAAGAAGGUCUUCGGAUCGUAAAGUUCUGUUAUUAGAGAAGAACACGUGUAAGAGUAACUGAUUAUGCGUUGACGGUAUCUAAUCAGCAAGUCACGGCUAACUACGUGCCAGCCGCCGCCGUAAAAC